UACGUAGGGCGCAAGCGUUGUCCGGAAUUAUUGGGCGUAAAGAGCUCGUAGGCGGUCUGUUACGUCCGCUGUGAAAACCCAGGGCUUAACCCUGGGCUUGCAGUGGAUACGGGUAGACUAGAGGCAGGUAGGGGAGAAUGGAAUUCCCGGUGUAGCGGUGAAAUGCGCAGAUAUCGGGAGGAACACCGGUGGCGAAGGCGGUUCUCUGGGCCUGACCUGACGCUGAGGAACGAAAGCUAGGGGAGCAAACAGG
rnacentral:rRNA from 1 species